rnacentral:rRNA from 1 species
AUCACUUUUGGAUGGUCCCGCGGCGUAUUAGCUAGAUGGUGGGGUAACGGCUCACCAUGGCAAUGAUACGUAGCCGACCUGAGAGGGUAAUCGGCCACAUUGGGACUGAGACACGGCCCAAACUCCUACGGGAGGCAGCAGUAGGGAAUCUUCCACAAUGGACGAAAGUCUGAUGGAGCAACGCCGCGUGAGUGAAGAAGGGUUUCGGCUCGUAAAACUCUGUUGUUAAAGAAGAACAUAUCUGAGAGUAACUGUUCAGGUAUUGACGGUAUUUAACCAGAAAGCCACGGCUAACUACGUGCCAGCAGCCGCGGUAAUACGUAGGUGGCAAGCGUUGUCCGGAUUUAUUGGGCGUAAAGCGAGCGCAGGCGGUUUUUUAAGUCUGAUGUGAAAGCCUUCGGCUCAACCGAAGAAGUGCAUCGGAAACUGGGAAACUUGAGUGCAGAAGAGGACAGUGGAACUCCAUGUGUAGCGGUGAAAUGCGUAGAUAUAUGGAAGAACACCAGUGGCGAAGGCGGCUGUCUGGUCUGUAACUGACGCUGAGGCUCGAAAGUAUGGGUAGCAAACAGGAUUAGAUACCCUGGUAGUCCAUACCGUAAACGAUGAAUGCUAAGUGUUGGAGGGUUUCCGCCCUUCAGUGCUGCAGCUAACGCAUUAAGCAUUCCGCCUGGGGAGUACGGCCGCAAGGCUGAAACUCAAAGGAAUUGACGGGGGCCCGCACAAGCGGUGGAGCAUGUGGUUUAAUUCGAAGCUACGCGAAGAACCUUACCAGGUCUUGACAUACUAUGCAAAUCUAAGAGAUUAGACGUUCCCUUCGGGGACAUGGAUACAGGUGGUGCAUGGUUGUCGUCAGCUCGUGUCGUGAGAUGUUGGGUUAAGUCCCGCAACGAGCGCAACCCUUAUUAUCAGUUGCCAGCAUUAAGUUGGGCACUCUGGUGAGACUGCCGGUGACAAACCGGAGGAAGGUGGGGAUGACGUCAAAUCAUCAUGCCCCUUAUGACCUGGGCUACACACGUGCUACAAUGGAUGGUACAACGAGUUGCGAACUCGCGAGAGUAAGCUAAUCUCUUAAAGCCAUUCUCAGUUCGGAUUGUAGGCUGCAACUCGCCUACAUGAAGUCGGAAUCGCUAGUAAUCGCGGAUCAGCAUGCCGCGGUGAAUACGUUCCCGGGCCUUGUACACACCGCCCGUCACACCAUGAGAGUUUGUAACACCCAAAGUCGGUGGGGUAACC